AUUGAACGCUGGCGGCAGGCCUAACACAUGCAAGUCGAACGGUAACAGAGAGUAGCUUGCUACUUUGCUGACGAGUGGCGGACGGGUGAGUAAUGUCUGGGGAUCUGCCUGAUGGAGGGGGAUAACUACUGGAAACGGUAGCUAAUACCGCAUAAUGUCGCAAGACCAAAGCGGGGGACUUUCGGGCCUCGCACCAUCAGAUGAACCCAGAUGGGAUUAGCUAGUAGGUAGGGUAAUGGCUUACCUAGGCGACGAUCCCUAGCUGGUCUGAGAGGAUGACCAGGCAGACUGGAACUGAGACACGGUCCAGCCUACUACGGGAGGCAGCAGUGGGGAAUAUUGCACAAUGGGCGCAAGCCUGAUGCAGCCAUGCCGCGUGUAUGAAGAAGGCCUUCAGGUUGUAAAGUACUUUCAGUCAGGAGGAAGGGUGUGAAAUUAAUACUUUCAUACAUUGACGUUACUGACAGAAGAAGCACCGGCUAACUCCGUGCCAGCAGCCGCGGUAA
rnacentral:rRNA from 1 species